rnacentral:lncRNA from 1 species
AUGAGUUAUAAUCCUCCCUUCUCACCCCCUCAGUUAAUUAAUUAUCUUUUGGCUUUACUUCUGGUGUUUUCAUUCCAUGCUGAAUUUUUUUCCCUUUACAGUUUCUUGAUUUUACAUCAAAUAAGAACGCCUUCUCCUGCUCCAAGAUUACAAUGGAAUUCUCCAAUGUGUUCAUUUACGAGCAAUAAAGUUUUCACAUUUAAUUCUAUGAUCUACUUGGAAUUUCUCCUGCUGCCAGCUGGCAAAUGAAGUAUUUUCUGCAGUCUGGCUGGGACAGGACAGUUUCAGAUAAAUUACCUCUUGCUACACUCUGGAGAGAUCAUUCAUGCUGUUGCAGAGGAACUUGCGAGGAGAGGCUACGUGGAGAAUUCUUAAAGGGGAUAGAAAGGAAAUUGAAAAGAGUUUUUCCUAAUAUAGGACUCAUUGAGAUAAAAGGUUUGCGUGAAGCGAUUUUUACAUUCAGGCCCUAGAUAGUUUUUCAAGAUGGGAUUCAAAUUGAUUAGUAAGUACUACGGCAGAAAUAAAAAAACUGAAAUCAGUGGGAAAAUGUCAAUUUCUCACUCAACAGCAUUGGAGAUGUCUGUUUAGCAGGAGGCUCAAAAUGUGGCCACUCAACUGUCCAGCUUGUGUAGAUACAAGACAACCCACAGCUCAGCUGAGACUGUGCAUUCCUGUCUCUUCGACUUCUUGCUGCUGCCGUCAGACUAUCAGCUCAUUAGUAUUUAAAUCAGCUCAUAAAUAUUUCCUAGAAAUUCACAGUUGCUUAAGUUUCACCACUAUUCAUUUCCAGUUCUCCUGCUUUAGUCUUAUUUCAAGUCUUUGUUUCUUAGGCUGGUAACAUUGCAGACGGGUAGAUUUCAUUACAUAUUCAUCUUCCUGAUGUAUGGUGAUGACAAAGGAAUGGCGGAAGUCCUCUUAGAGGAUAAAAAUGAGAAACAGAGCAAGGAUGCAGAUGGAAAUUUUACUCCAUUUCCUUUGUACAAAUAAGAUUAUCUAAUGAUGGACCAUGGGAGUCUGUAUAAAAUAAGAACAGCCCCAAAACAUAUGCCAACACAAUUUGACCUGAAUGAAUGUUUUUUUCACAUACCCUUUAAAAGCUUUGACAACACAGAUGAAACAUUUCACUGGGGGCAGGCCCGGGAUGCUCCCACUGGGGAGAUGGUUGCAUGGUUACAAAACCUCUUCUGUUCAACAUAAGAGCUAUAUUUCUAAUCAUAAAAUAAUGACGACAGAGAAGGGCCAGUUCCACCAUGAUUUUCUGCAUAGUUCUUAGCAUUCUGCCAGAAUUCAACACUAAGAACCGCAUACAAUUGAAACAGCCAGUUCUCUUCAAUGAGUAUGAAUAAAAUUUAACCGAUGACAAAUGGGAGGAAAAUAAAUAUAUCAUAUUUCAUUGAAUUUAAAGUGACACAGCUUCCAAGCACCAUAACUGUACAUAACCCUAAGAAAAAAAAGUGCCAUCAAUUAAAUUAGGACAUACUGUUGAUUGUAAGUAUAUCCUGGUUUCAGAUGUGUGGAAAAAAAAGUGAACCAGUGAAAUAUGUCAAGUUUAAAAAGAAUUUUUUUUAUUGUUCUACAAAAAUAAAAAUCAUUUGGUAGCUAUAUUACUUGAAAGAGGGUUGAUAAUAGUGUUAAUUAAUCUCUUCUAUCAGGAAUAUCUACUCUAAGGAGUGAUGACUUUUCCAAAAUCAUAUACCCGAGAGGUAUGAGAAACACAGAGAGACAAAACUCUUGGGACAGGUUCUGAGAGUUUUCCUAGGAUAGGGGAUGCCAAUGCGGUCUUGGCAUUGACAGUCUCAUGGCAUUCAAUUGUAUGCUCCAAAAGUCUCCUCAACUCUAGAAUAAAUAGCUUUGCCAGGCCCAUGCAGUUAAGGUAAAAUUUGGGGCUAAAAAGCACCCGAUUGCUUUAAAAAUAAUCUAGACAACUUAGCUUGUGAUUCAAGACCCCAUAAAAUCUCUCUGAACCUAUUUUUUUACUAGUUUUUCCCCUUCUAUAUUUCUAUAUGUAAUUCAUACUUCUACCAAAUUGAAUGAUUGAAUUUUCCUAAACACACAGUGUAUUAGCUCAAUGCCCUGUCUUUGCUUAUACCACAGUUUCUCAAACUUGGCACUACUGACACCGUGGGCUGGAUAAUUCCUUUUUGUGGAGGGCUGUCCUGUGCAUGCCAACAGUGCUUCUUCCCAGCCAAAACAACCAAAAUGUCUUUAGGCCUUGCCAAAUGUCUCUGGGGGAUUGACGGACAAAAUCACCACUGGUUGAGAACCUUUGCUCAAUUCAUGCUGGUCCAGGGAAAGAAAGAGUACAAACUUUUAUCUCAAAUGUUCAUGAGCUGGUGGACAUCUGGAUUUUUCAGCCACUCGGCACUCAUCUCUCUUUCUACGAGCACCUAAUUUUCUUUAGGGGGAAUAAUUUUUUCCCAUUGUAUGUUGACUUGGUAGGUCUCCAAGUCUUGGAGAUAGUGUCUUGCCAUUGCUCUCCAAGUGGUGGGCACUUGGAACUGAGCUGGGCCAAUCCAACAUUUUCUCCUGGGAUAUGGACCAUCUUGAGCAGAGUGAUGGUAAAAAUGGUUAAAACAAACAAACAAACAAAGGUUGAAGAAAACUGACUCCUAGGCAAGAUGGUUGAGAAAUAACUGUUCUCUUUGUAUCCGUCCUAAGUCCUAUUAGGAUGGGAGUUCUUUUCUGAUUUAGGUUUCUAGAUUUCCAUCCUCUCUAUAUUCCAAGAUUCCUCUCAUAAACAACAUUUCUGGGUAAAUAUGCCAGAGUUGUAGCCUGUGGCUCAUCUGCAAAGGGGCCCGGUUGAGACACUGCCAUCAACUAGCUUCGCAUUUUGAACCAGUCUCUGAACAUCUCUGCACCUGUGUUUCUCCUCUGAAAACUGAAAGCAAAAGCUGUUUACCUUUUGAGUUUGCCAAAGAAACCCUCCCCAUAAUCUCUGCAUCUCCAAAUCUGGGUUCUGUGUUAAGUUCCAAAAAUGAAUGAGAUACUGCCUCUGUCCUUAUGGGCUCACUUUAUUACUCUGAUAAAAUUAAUGGCAGGACCCAGGCAACACACCAAAGCAGAAAAACCAUUCUGAGUAUAAACAAUACCAGUAGGUCAAACAUUAUGGGCUAAAAUUGGCCUUUAUCCUGGUCAGGCCUACUUAUCAAUCUUUUGUGCAUCUGCUCCUUGCUAAUGGCCUCCCUCCCUCCAGAUGGGAAAGGAAGCUAUUGUAAGGAGGUUCAUGCACUCAUUAUUCUAUACCCGCAGCCUGCCUAAGCUGCUGAAGUGUCCCAGAAUCUGCAGUACUGCUAGGUUAGCAGCAGGAGCAAAUAAAAGAAUUCAGGGUCAGCAUUUUUUGUUUCUCAUCUGACAAACAAGGUCAGGUACUUCUUGGAGCACUCCAGGUCCAUCAGCUGUGACAUACAAAGGGACAAAGAGGGGAAGAUUUUCCAGAAAGGCCGGCGGUUAGGGACAAGGUGGGUUUAAGUUUUCAGCUUUUGUUGUGGGAGAGGAAAGUUCCCCGCAUCCCAGGCUCCACCUUUUCAGAGUCAGGAAAAAGAAGCU